rnacentral:rRNA from 1 species
AUUGAACGCUGGCGGCAUGCUUUACACAUGCAAGUCGAACGGUAACAGGUUAAGCUGACGAGUGGCGAACGGGUGAGUAAUGCAUCGGAACGUGCCCGGUCGUGGGGGAUAACGCAGCGAAAGCUGCGCUAAUACCGCAUACGAUCUGAGGAUGAAAGCGGGGGACCGUAAGGCCUCGCGCGAUCGGAGCGGCCGGUGUCAGAUUAGGUAGUUGGUGGGGUAAAGGCUCACCAAGCCGACGAUCUGUAGCUGGUCUGAGAGGACGACCAGCCACACUGGGACUGAGACACGGCCCAGACUCCUACGGGAGGCAGCAGUGGGGAAUUUUGGACAAUGGGCGCAAGCCUGAUCCAGCAAUGCCGCGUGCAGGAAGAAGGCCUUCGGGUUGUAAACUGCUUUUGUACGGAGCGAAAAGGCUCUCUCUAAUACAGGGGGCUCAUGACGGUACCGUAAGAAUAAGCACCGGCUAACUACGUGCCAGCAGCCGCCGUAAGAC